UACGUAGGGUGCAAGCGUUAAUCGGAAUUACUGGGCGUAAAGCGUGCGCAGGCGGUUAUGUAAGGAAGUUGUGAAAUCCCCGGGCUCAACCUGGGAACUGCAUCUGUGACUGCAUAGCUAGAGUACGGUAGAGGGGGAUGGAAUUCCGCGUGUAGCAGUGAAAUGCGUAGAUAUGCGGAGGAACACCGAUGGCGAAGGCAAUCCCCUGGACCUGUACUGACGCUCAUGCACGAAAGCGUGGGGAGCAAACAGG
rnacentral:rRNA from 1 species